rnacentral:rRNA from 1 species
GAUGAACGCUAGCUACAGGCUUAACACAUGCAAGUCGAGGGACCGGCGCACGGGUGAGUAACACGUAUCCAACCUGCCCUUUACUCGGGGAUAUCCUUUCGAAAGAAAGAUUAAUACCCGAUAUAAAGGAUGGGGAUGCGUUCCAUUAGGUUGUUGGUGAGGUAACGGCUCACCAAGCCUUCGAUGGAUAGGGGUUCUGAGAGGAAGGUCCCCCACAUUGGAACUGAGACACGGGCCAAACGACAACGGGAGGCAGCAGUGAGGAAUAAUGGUAAAUGGGCGCUAGCCUGAAACAGCCAAGUAGCGUGAAGGAUGAAGGCUUAUGGGUCGUAAACUUCUUAUAUAUAAGAAUAGGUAUUAAAUGAAUAAGGAGCGGCUAACUCCGUGCCAGCAGCCGCGGUAAUAC